AUGGCUGCUCUCCCUCUUCACUUGGGGAAGACAGAUGGAGAAACUAAUACCAGGAGAAAAAGGCAGCCAGUUGUCAAUGUAGCCAUGCAGUCUGGAAUGCCUUUCUUUGCUGCAUUACACUCGGAGUUGAUGUCGAUUGAACUCUGGGUUUCUAAUCACCAGAGAGACGUACAAUUGAUUAAUGGCCUGUGCUUUUCCAGCUUUUACAGUCCUAGAAGGACCCUAACAGAGACAGUGAGCAAGGCUGCUGCCCACUCUGAAGACAUUUGAAACUUGGAAAGAGUAAGUCUUUCAGAUGUGAGCACGCUGUUUUGCUCACUUGCACCCCCUAAUGGAUGUGAGGUUCUGAAGAGCUCAUUUACAGGAGAAAAUUCCAGAAAAGGAGAGAAGCCAGCUGAGAAAAUGAAUUCCAGCAGGUAGAAUGCCUGUGUACUCUCUGCUCCUUGGGACUGACCAAUAAGAGAGACUUCGAGUUCUAACAAAAAUGAGGAACUCUGGAGCCACUUAGUGAUUCUCAGGUAUAAAUACUCUUCCUUGACGGUGCAUUAGCCUUCGGAGAUAGACACUGGCUGGAAUAUCCUGGACGGUCCUUGGAAGGUCUCUGACCAAGGGGAUUUAGCCCUGAAAAGGAAGAUCGAUGGGCAGGAAAGAUUAAACCUAAAUGAAUUCACGGGCCAGGGUGACUUUACUCUCUAACCUCCGCGGUGUAAGGUAGUAAACCUCAGCGCCAAAGUUCUAAGGGAGUACAACUAGGAUGCUUCUGUUGGUCCCACCAUAAGGAUCCCGGCUCUUCCUGAAGGAGCAUAGCCCACUGGGGAACAGCGAGAAGACAUCGUGAGAAAGAGAAAGACCUCAGAGCUUGGCAGUGAUGAAAGUGUUCUAUUGCCUUAGCCACAUGGAUCCAUUCCCUUCAUGUGUGUCCCACUAACAAUGCUCUUUAUGCAUAUGCCCACUCUUCUUACUUAUUUGGGGGAAAUGAUGCCCUGGGUUGAUAGAAGGAAAUUCCCUCCUUUAUAGGAGAGAUUUUGUUUGUAAUUCCCUAUAAGCAUCCUCUUAGUGCACGCCUUUGCUUUGAGCUACCUGUAUCUACUGGCUCAUUAUUAAAGGGAGCCACACCAGUGGUGGGGGCUCGGGACCUAUGUAAGGAUUCCAAACCCACAGAGUAUCAUUGAACCUGGAGUAGUAGCUGCAUUCUCAGGAACAUAACUCCCUCAUGUAAAUAUGGAUUUGAAGGGAGUGCUGCAGUUUGAUGUAGAAGAUGCAAAAACUA
rnacentral:lncRNA from 1 species